CGCGAAUGGCUCAUUCAACAGCCUUAGUUUAUUGGAUCUUAGAGUCCUACUUGGAUAACUGUGGUAAUUCUAGAGCUAAUACACGCAAUUAAUCCUCAACCUUACGGGCGAGGAGCAUUUAUUAGAACAAAACCAAUCGGCUUCGGCCGUAUCUGGUGAAUCUGAAUAACUACGCUGAUCGCAUGGUCUCGUACCGGCGACAUAUCCUUCAAGUGUCUGCCUUAUCAACUGUCGAUGGUAGUUUACACGCCUACCAUGGUUGUAACGGGUAACGGAGAAUAAGGGUUCGACUCCGGAGAGGGAGCCUGAGAAACGGCUACCACAUCCAAGGAAGGCAGCAGGCGCGCAAAUUACCCACUCUCAGAACGAGGAGGUAGUGACGAAAAAUAACGAGACAGUUCUCUAUGAGGUCUGUCAUCGGAAUGGGUACAAUUUAAACCCUUUAACGAGGAUCUAUUGGAGGGCAAGUCUGGUGCCAGCAGCCGCGGUAAUUCCAGCUCCAAUAGCGUAUAUUAAAGUUGUUGCGGUUAAAAAGCUCGUAGUUGGAUCUGCGGUCGUAGACUCUGGUUCCCUCCUAGGGAUACUAGCUGUCUCGACCUACCUUGUUAGAUUUCCCUUGGUGCUCUUUACUGAGUGCCUUGGGUGUCUAGCUCGUUUACUUUGAAAAAAUUAGAGUGCUUAAAGCAGGCAUUUGCCUGAAUAGUGGUGCAUGGAAUAAUGGAAUAGGACCUCGGUUCUAUUUUGUUGGUUUUCGGAGCAUGAAGUAAUGAUUAAGAGGGACAGACGGGGGCAUUCGUACUGCUACGUUAGAGGUGAAAUUCUUGGAUCGUAGCAUGACGAACAACUGCGAAAGCAUUUGCCAAGAAUGUUUUCAUUAAUCAAGAACGAUAGUUAGAGGUUCGAAGGCGAUCAGAUACCGCCC
rnacentral:rRNA from 1 species